rnacentral:rRNA from 2 species
UACGUAGGGUGCGAGCGUUGUCCGGAAUUAUUGGGCGUAAAGAGCUUGUAGGCGGUUUGUCGCGUCUGCUGUGAAAUUUCGGGGCUUAACCCCGAACUUGCAGUGGGUACGGGCAGACUAGAGUGUGGUAGGGGAGACUGGAAUUCCUGGUGUAGCGGUGAAAUGCGCAGAUAUCAGGAGGAACACCGAUGGCGAAGGCAGGUCUCUGGGCCAUAACUGACGCUGAGAAGCGAAAGCAUGGGGAGCGAACAGG